GUUGGUGAUUGAUUGUACUGCAGUUGAGCUGCAGAGCAAGGAAGGAGAGAGUACUGAAACUUCUGGUCAGAAGGAUGUGGAAAAACAAACCGAGGCAGGCAGACAAAUUCCUGAAACUUCUGGGAUUCAGGGUGCGAGGAAAGAAGGUGGUGGUAGAAAGAAUCCUAGUGGGAGAAAAUCCAAAAAAAUCUGUUGAAGGAAACCAUUCGUCUAUUGGCAAAAG
rnacentral:misc_RNA from 1 species